UAUAUAUAUAUAUAUAUAUAUAUAAUAUACCGCUAAUUACCAGAAAUUAUAACCAUUAUUCAGAUUGGUGUAGAUUAUAGUAUAUAACUAUUAAAGAUUGAUCCCCAUACAGUGGAAAAAGUGUAUGCGAACCGCUCACAGUCUGAUGAAUCCCCCCAUGCAUACGUGCAUUAUUAUCAUGACAUGAACUCAAUGACAAUGCAUUUGAUGUUAUUUUUAUCUUAUGUAUAAGGCCUACGUGCAGCUUGGGAAACACUAUAUACAACUGCUUCAGUCAGCCGAAGGAUGGGGUUAUUGAAUAUCGAACAGUAAGUAUAUAUAACUAGUGCUUUAAUUACACGCCCCAAACCUCGGUAAAGCAAGAAUUUACAGCUAGGUUUUGUUAUCUGGUGUGAUAACGUUUUUACGCCUGAAUUUUGCAUAAGGGUUUUGUCUUCUUAAAUGUUUCGUUUUAUAUGAACAUUGCCAAAAUGAUAUUAAUUUGAAUAGCAGUGCCCAGUUCACAAAAUCCGAAAGAUCACCAAACCAAAGCAUACAUGUAGAUACAAAAAUCUUCAAAAUUUAGAAGUAUAAGAGUACAUUCGUGCAAGAAAAUAACAAUUUUACCCUCUGCCUUUUAUAGAAAUAUUGGAAUUGCAAACUUUGGUCAUGCACAUUCUCAUUUUGGUCGCUAUCCAGAUUGAUGAUUGAAGACCCUUGCAGUAUAUAUACAGUACUUAAAAUCCAGGAGCAAGAAUAUCUAUAUAUACAGCGUGUCAUAUAAAACAUGCAUGCAUUGUGCUUUCCCCGUGAUUAAGCCUAUAAUUUUAACUUGUGUAUAUCUGUAACCGUGUAUAAAAACAGGAUGAAA
rnacentral:lncRNA from 1 species